GACGAACGCUGGCGGCGUGCUUAACACAUGCAAGUCGAACGGACAGGCCCUGCUUUUGUGGGGUGCUCGAGUGGCGAACGGGUGAGUAACACGUGAGUAACCUGCCCUUGACUUUGGGAUAACUUCAGGAAACUGGAGCUAAUACCGGAUAGCAGCUCAUGCCGCAUGGUGUGGAUUGAAAAGUUUCGGCGGUUGGGGAUGGACUCGCGGCUUAUCAGCUUGUUGGUGGGGUAGUGGCUUACCAAGGCUUUGAAGGGUAGCCGGCCUGAGAGGGUGACCGGCCACAUUGGGACUGAGAUACGGCCCAGACUCCUACGGGAGGCAGCAGUGGGGAAUAUUGCACAAUGGGCGGAAGCCUGAUGCAGCAACGCCGCGUGCGGGAUGACGGCCUUCGGGGUGGAAACCGCUUUCGCCUGUGACGAAGCGUGAGUGACGGUAAUGGGUAAAGAAGCAACGGCUAACUACGUG
rnacentral:rRNA from 1 species